UACGGAGGGUGCAAGCGUUAUCCGGAUUCACUGGGUUUAAAGGGUGCGUAGGUGGAGUGGUAAGUCAGUGGUGAAGUCUCCAAGCUUAACUUGGAAACUGCCGUUGAUACUAUCAUUCUUGAAUAUCGUGGAGGUAAGCGGAAUAUGUCAUGUAGCGGUGAAAUGCUUAGAUAUGACAUAGAACACCGAUUGCGAAGGCAGCUUGCUACACGAUCAUUGACACUGAGGCACGAAAGCGUGGGGAUCAAACAGG
rnacentral:rRNA from 1 species